UACGGGGGGAGCAAGCGUUGUUCGGAUUUACUGGGCGUAAAGGGCGCGUAGGCGGUCAGCACAAGUCAGUUGUGAAAUCUCCGGGCUUAACUCGGAAAGGUCAACUGAUACUGUGCGACUAGAGUGCGGAAGGGGCAACUGGAAUUCUCGGUGUAGCGGUGAAAUGCGUAGAUAUCGAGAGGAACACCUGCGGCGAAGGCGGGUUGCUGGGCCGACACUGACGCUGAUGCGCGAAAGCCAGGGGAGCAAAAUGGG
rnacentral:rRNA from 1 species